UACGGAGGAUGUGAGCGUUAUCCGGAUUUAUUGGGUUUAAAGGGUGCGUAGGCGGGUUGUUAAGUCAGCGGUAAAAUUGCGGUGCUCAACGCCGUAGAGCCGUUGAAACUGGCGGCCUUGAGUGGGCGAGAAGUAUGCGGAAUGCGUGGUGUAGCGGUGAAAUGCAUAGAUAUCACGCAGAACCCCGAUUGCGAAGGCAGCAUACCGGCGCCCUACUGACGCUGAGGCACGAAAGUGCGGGUAUCGAACAGG
rnacentral:rRNA from 1 species